rnacentral:rRNA from 1 species
CCUACGGGUGGCAGCAGUCGAGAAUCAUUCACAAUGGGGGAAACCCUGAUGGUGCGACGCCGCGUGGGGGAAUGAAGGUCUUCGGGUUGUAAACCCCUGUCAUGUGGGAGCAAAUUAAGAAGAUAGUACCACAAGAGGAAGAGACUGCUAACUCUGUGCCAGCAGCCGCGGUAAUACAGAGGUUUCAAGCGUUGUACGGAAUCACUUGGCGUAAAGCGUGCGUAGGCGGUUUCGUAAGGCGUGUGUGAAAGGCGCGGGCUCAACCCGCGGACGGCACAUGAUACUGGGAGACUAGAGUACAGGAGGGGGAACCGGAAUUCGUGGUGUAGCAGUGAAAUGCGUAGAUAUCGAGAGGAACACUGGUGGCGAAGGCGGGUUCCUGGACAUUAACUGACGCUGAGGCACGAAGGUCAGGGGAGCGAAAGGGAUUAGAUACCCCUGUAGUC